rnacentral:rRNA from 1 species
UACGAAGGGGGCUAGCGUUGCUCGGAAUCACUGGGCGUAAAGGGUGCGUAGGCGGAUUGUUAAGUCAGGGGUGAAAUCCUGGAGCUCAACUCCAGAACUGCCUUUGAUACUGGCGAUCUUGAGUCCGGGAGAGGUGAGUGGAACUGCGAGUGUAGAGGUGAAAUUCGUAGAUAUUCGCAAGAACACCAGUGGCGAAGGCGGCUCACUGGCCCGGUACUG